GGGUAUUACAUUAUCUCCCCCUUGGGAUCAUUCAUCCCUGAAUGAUGGGUAGGAACGUUGAAGCUUAAAGGUAUGGAAUAACAUGGACAUGAUGUGUCUUUUAAGAAAGGAUAUAACUGAUCUGAAACAUUUAAACUUCUAUCAUGAAACUGAAUUUUGAGCUGACUUGCCCUUACUUGUUUUAAGGGGCUGAUUCAUGGUGAGAGUUUAGGAUUCCC
rnacentral:lncRNA from 1 species